rnacentral:lncRNA from 1 species
GAUUGUAGCAUGCUGACUCUCUCCGAAAGAAAACAUUGUAGAAUCUUCCGAUGACAGCGACGGGGAAGAAACGGAGAUCAACAGUGUUGUCACGGAAGACGUUGACAUGAGUUUUGAAAUCUGGGGAACGUCUGGUAGAAGCAGAGUAUGAUAAGGAGAUUAAUACAAUUCUGGCGUUUGAUUGCAAAUGCAGAGGGAGUUGAAAAGAGAACACAGAAGGCGGUUGUAUAAAACACUUUGUCUCCAGAUUACAUCUUCAAACUUAGGGCAACCAUGGCAUCCGUGACAGAGGGAGUAAGAUCUGAAAAUUCUCAUGGCAUUGCACACGGUCAGUGUGAACCAGAGUGACUUGACACAACGCGGGCCAAGCAAGUUGUACAAACAAAAUGGAAAUGACACAGGACGUGUCUUAUUUAAUGAAAGGGGUUGCAGUCUGCCGUGAAGCGUUCAUCCAUGUUUACGGCAUCAGUAGAGCACGCCUGACUCUCCUCCACCAGUCAUACAAGGAGAACGGUCCUUGAACUUUAACUACGCAGAGAAUAAUGCAAUAGUAUUACCAGGACACAAAUACUUUGGUAGAAAGCUGUUGCCAUCUCAUGUGACAAAAGCAGCGGUGUGGUGUCUCCACAAGGAAUCGAUGACAACACUUGAGGUACGUGUAGUCGGGUUGUCAAAUGCUCCACAGAGUUCAAGUAAGAGACAUCUCAACAUCAACUGUUCAGGGGAGACUGUGUGAAUCAGGCCUUCAUGGUGAAAUUGCUGCAAAGAAACCACUACUAACGGACACCAAUAAGAAGAGACUUGCUUGGGCCAAGAAACACAAGCAAUGGACAUUAGACCGGUGGAAAUCUGUCCUUUGGUCUGAUGAGUCCAAAUUGGAGAUUUUUGGUUCGGACCACCGUGUCUUUGUGAGACGCAGAGUAGGUGAAUGGAUGGAUGAUCUCUUCAUGUGUGGUUCCCACCGUGAAGCAUAGACGAGGAGGUGUGAUGGUGCUUUGCUGGUGACACGGUCUGUAAUUUAUUUAGCAAUCAAGGCACACUUAACCACCAUGGCGACCACAGCAUUCUGCAGCGAUACGGCAUCCCAUCUGGUUUGCACUUAGUGGGACUAUCAUUUGUUUUUCAACAGGACAAUGACCCCAACACACCUCCAGGCUGUAUAAGGGCUAUUUGACCAAGAAGGAGAGUGAUGAGUGCUGCAUCAGAUGACCUGGCCUCCACAAUCACCCGACCUCAAACCAAUUGAGAUGGUUUGGGAUGAGUUGGACAGUAGAGUGAAGGAAAAGCUGCCAACAAGUACUCAGCAUGGUUGAGAGAAUUCCAAAAGUGUGCAAAGCUGUCAUCUAGCCAAAGGGUGGCUAUUUUGAAGAAUCUAAAAUAUAAAAUGUACUUAGAAUUUUUUUUAACACUUUUUUGGUAACGACAUGAUUCCAUAUGUUAAUUUCAUAGUUUGAUGUAUUCACUAU